UCCCUGGUAGUCCAGUAGUUAAGACUCCAUGCUUCCACCACAGAGGGCACAGGUUCGAUCCUUGUCUGGGGAA
rnacentral:tRNA from 1 species